GGGUUAGUAGGUUGGUCAUGCCUCUGGUAUGUACUGGUCUCACUGAUUCCUCCUUCCUGAUGAACCUUAAUGCCAUUAAUUUGGUGUUUUGGGGAAUUUGGACUGUUACUUUGAAAAAAUUAGAGUGUUUAAAGCAGGCUCGCGCUUGAAUACAUUAGCAUGGAAUAAUGAAAUAGGACGAUUGAUCCUAUUUUUGUUGGUUUCUGGGAUUGGCGUA
rnacentral:rRNA from 1 species